CUUUGACCCCAGGAGUGGGAGGAACAGAACCAGUAGGAUGACUGAGCCCAAAGAAAUCACUGAGGGGGAAAACACACCAGCAAAUCACUGGGGGAAGAAACUUGAAUGCACAUGGAAGAUGUGAAUUGAUUGUUGCAGCACAGUCUGCCAGAUGCCAGGCUUUUGUUCUACAGAAACCACAACAGAAACACCUUGGCCCUGGAGUUUAUGUUCAUCUUCUCAGAAAGUGCAGUUUUCAUCAUUUGUUAAUAAAUUCUUAUAAACGGAGAUUUAGCUCAGUGGUGCUGCCACCUGCCUCACAAGCGCAAGGAGCCAAGUUCGAUCCCAGGUACCAAAUAAAUAAAAUAAAACAAAUUCUCAUAAAUUUUGUCUUGCUUUUCUCGAUUUUCU
rnacentral:lncRNA from 1 species